rnacentral:misc_RNA from 1 species
AACGCACGAGACCUGCGGACCUGCGGAGGGAUCAUUAUAGAGUGGUAAACCCCCCGUAAAAGGGGGGGACCUCCUGUCCUUUGUAGGCUCUUUUUUAAAAGGGCUUUUUUUAAUUUUCUGCUUCGGUGGGGUUAUCCCACCGGAACAACCUCAAAACUCUUAUCAAAAAAUCGUUCUGUCUGAGAACCUUUUAUAAUAAAAAAAAACUUUUAACAACGGAUCUCUAGAUCGGAAGAGCAC